GGUUGUGAGGGUGAUCUGGCUGUGAUGUGUCACUCCAUUGAUCACCAGAGUUGAGGUGGCUGAUCUGGCUGGCUAAGCAGUGUCCCUUCAUCUCACAUUGUUCCAUGUGUGGCCCUCCCAACGCUGUGUGCUUGGUGGAAGAGAACAGUGCUGUCCAACCUAGGUGGCCUAUUCUUUUAUCCAGGGUACAGGAGCCUCUGGGCUGUACUGUCGGAAUCUCUGAGCAGGCUCUCAGGCAGGUGUAACUUCCCUC
rnacentral:sRNA from 1 species